rnacentral:rRNA from 1 species
GCAUAUCAAUAAGCGGAGGAAAAGAAACCAACAGGGAUUGCCCCCAGUAACGGCGAGUGAAGCGGCAACAGCUCAAAUUUGAAAUCUGGCCCCUCUCGGGGUCCGAGUUGUAAUUUGUAGAGGAUGCUUUUGGCGAGGCGCCGCCCGAGUUCCCUGGAACGGGACGCCACAGAGGGUGAGAGCCCCGUCUGGCUGGCCGCCGAGCCUCUGUAAAGCUCCUUCGACGAGUCGAGUAGUUUGGGAAUGCUGCUCAAAAUGGGAGGUAUAUGUCUUCUAAAGCUAAAUACUGGCCAGAGACCGAUAGCGCACAAGUAGAGUGAUCGAAAGAUGAAAAGCACCUUGAAAAGAGGGUUAAAUAGUACGUGAAAUUGUUGAAAGGGAAGCGCUUGUGACCAGACUUGGGCGCGGCGGAUCAUCCGGGGUUCUCCCCGGUGCACUUCGCCGCGUCCAGGCCAGCAUCAGUUCGUCGCGGGGGAUAAAGGCUUCGGGAACGUGGCUCCCCCGGGAGUGUUAUAGCCCGUUGCACAAUACCCUGCGGUGGACUGAGGACCGCGCAUCUGCAAGGAUGCUGGCGUAAUGGUCACCAGCGACCCGUCUUGAAACACGGACCAAGGAGUCGUCUUCGUAUGCGAGUGUUCGGGUGUCAAACCCCUACGCGUAAUGAAAGUGAACGCAGGUGAGAGCUUCGGCGCAUCAUCGACCGAUCCUGAUGUUCUCGGAUGGAUUUGAGUAAGAGCAUACGGGGCCGGACCCGAAAGAAGGUGAACUAUGCCUGUAUAGGGUGAAGCCAGAGGAAACUCUGGUGGAGGCUCGCAGCGGUUCUGACGUGCAAAUCGAUCGUCAAAUAUGGGCAUGGGGGCGAAAGACUAAUCGAACCUUCUAGUAGCUGGUUUCCGCCGA